GUGAGGAAUAUUGCGCAAUGGAGGCAACUCUGACGCAGCCAUGCCGCGUGCAGGAAGAAGGCGCUACGCGUUGUAAACUGCUUUUAACCGGGAAGAAACCCCAGGACGUGUCCUGGGUUGACGGUACCGGAGGAAUAAGCACCGGCUAACUUCGUGCCAGCAGCCGCGGUAAUACGAAGGGUGCAAGCGUUAUCCGGAUUCAUUGGGUUUAAAGGGUGCGUAGGCGGAGCGUUAAGUCAGUGGUGAAAUCCUGCAGCUUAACUGUAGACUUGCCAUGGAUACUGGCGCUCUUGAGUGCGCUUGAAGUGGGCGGAAUGUGCCGUGUAGCGGUGAAAUGCUUAGAUAUGGCACAGAACACCAAUUGCGAAGGCAGCUCACUAAGGCGAUACUGACGCUGAGGCACGAAAGCGUGGGGAUCGAACAGGAUUAGAAACCCCUGUAGUCC
rnacentral:rRNA from 1 species